rnacentral:rRNA from 1 species
AGCGAACGUUUGCGGCGGGCUUAACACAUGCAAGUCGAACGAGAAUCCCUUCGGGGAGGAAAGUGGCGCACGGGUGCGUAACACGUGGAUAACCAACCCAUUGGUUUGGGACAACACCGGGAAACUGGUGCUAAUACCAGAUGUGUCGCAGCUGUCUUCAGGCGGUUGCGAGAAAGGCCCGCAAGGGUCGCCAACGGACGGGUCCGCGUCCCAUCAGCUAGUUGGUGAGGUAAUGGCUCACCAAGGCAAAGACGGGUAGCUGGUCUGAGAGGAUGAUCAGCCACACUGGAACUGAGACACGGUCCAGACUCCUACGGGAGGCAGCAGUGGGGAAUAUUGCGCAAUGGGCGAAAGCCUGACGCAGCCACGCCGCGUGAGCGAUGAAGGUCUUCGGAUCGUAAAG